rnacentral:rRNA from 1 species
CAGCCGCCGCGGGAAUACGAAGGGGGCUAGCGUUGCUCGGAAUGACUGGGCGUAAAGGGCGCGUAGGCGGCGGCCAAAGUCAGGCGUGAAAUUCCCGGGCUCAACCUGGGGGCUGCGUUUGAUACUUGGUUGCUUGAGUGGGGAAGAGGGUCGUGGAAUUCCCAGUGUAGAGGUGAAAUUCGUAGAUAUUGGGGAGAACACCGGUGGCGAAGGCGGCGACCUGGUCCUUUACUGACGCUGAGGCGCGAAAGCGUGGGGAGCAAACAGGAUUAGAUACCCCGGUAGUCCCUGUCUCUUAUAC